CAAUAGCGUAUAUUAAAGUUGUUGCGGUAAAAAAGCUCGUAGUUGGAUUUCUACCGAAGAUAGCCGGUCGGGUCUUCGACCUUGUAUCUGGUUUUGUCUUUGGUAUCCUCAUAGGGAACGUUUCUGUGCUUUAUUGCGUGGUGCGGUAUCUAUGACUUUUACUUUGAGGAAAUUAGAGUGUUCACGGCAGGCAAACGCCUUGAAUAUAUUAGCAUGGAAUAAUAACAUAGGAUCUUCGUCCUAUUUUGUUGGUUUCUAGGGCUAAGAUAAUGAUUAAUAGGGAUAAUUGGGGGCAUCUGUAUCAACGCGUCAGAGGUGGAAUUCUUGGAUUGCGUUGCGACAACUACUGCGAAAGCAUUUGCCAAGGAUGUUUUCAUUAA
rnacentral:rRNA from 1 species